UUGCACGUACAGGCAGAUGACGUGAAAGAAAUCGCUCGAUUCACGCACGAUUUCCUUUUCCUUCGGAUCCUCGAUCGUCUCGUUCCCUGCCCUUUUGCAUGUUCCGCCGACCGCUAUUCGUCUUCAAGACUUCAACUCCGCCUCCUGACGAACGGCGCGACGACUACGGCAGGUCAAUAGGGAAUUGUUGCCAGGGUGAUCAAACGCGCGCACAUAGCCAGAUUAGACUACGGAGAGAAGCACUGCCAUAUUGGGUUCGGGUGUAAAGUAUCCAUCUGGAUGUGAUAAAAGAAAAAGGAAGGAGGUAGAUGACAUGAAAGGAUCCCUUCUUAAUAAAUCAUAAGAGCCAUCCGAGCACUUCAAAAAAUCUAGACGAGUUGGUGAUAGUUCUUA